UGGGGAAUUUUGCACAAUGGGGGAAACCCUGAUGCAGCGACGCCGCGUGAUUUAGAAGGCCUUCGGGUUGUAAAAAUCUUUUUUACGGGAUGAAAAUGACAGUACCGUAAGAAUAAGGUCCGGCUAAAUACGUGCCAGCAGCCGCGGUAAUACGUAUGGACCGAGCGUUGUCCGGAAUCAUUGGGCGUAAAGGGUACGUAGGCGGCAUAGUAAGUUAGAAGUGAAAUAAUAUAGCUCAACUAUAUAAAGCUUUUAAAACUGCUAGGCUUGAGAGAUGGAAGGGAAAGUGGAAUUCCUAGUGUAGCGGUGAAAUGCGCAGAUAUUAGGAAGAAUACCGGUGGCGAAGGCGACUUUCUGGUCAUCAUCUGACGCUGAGGUACGAAAGCGUGGGUAGCAAACAGG
rnacentral:rRNA from 1 species